rnacentral:lncRNA from 1 species
CUUUCCGUGCAUAAGAAGCCGAAUGAGGAAGACAAACAUAAAGAUGAAGUGCUUAAUUCAAGGUCACACAAUGUCGGGGAUGGACCUCCAGAUUUCCUUACUGGAAAACAAGCUCAGGGCUCCCACUGAUUGUACAUUAUGGUGAGACGUGGUCUUGUAACACAGUGGUUAAGAAUGUGACUUUGGAGCCAGCCUGCUAGGGGCUGAAUUCUGACUCAGCCAUUUACUAACUGUGUGACCUUAGGUGGAGUCUCACUCUGUAGCCCAAGCUGGAGUGGCGUGAUCUCGACUCACUGCAACCUCCGCCUCCUGGGAUCAAGUGAUUCUCGUGCCUCAGCCUCCUGAGUAGCCGGGACUACAGGUCACAGAAUUUUCCACACUCCUUGACAGAGGUGCUUAACCCUUAUCCAUCAGCAUUCUCAGACAGCACCUCCGGUUAGGGACAGUAUCUGACCGUCCGACAUCCCUGCAGCCCCCAUGUGUCACACAGACUCAGCCUCAGGUAGAUGGUUUCCGUAGAUGGUGGCUUUCUUUGGACCCUUGACAUCAACCAGUUACUAUUUGGGGACCAGAUGUGCAGAGGUAAUGAAUACCAGGGAAUC